rnacentral:tRNA from 1 species
GCUUGGGUAGUUUAAUGAAAAUGCUGAUUUGUGGUGUCAGUGAUGUGGUUUUUACCUCAGGCU